GGAUCAAUAUUUCGGUCGAUGCCGGUUGGUAUGCACUGUUAUCAUUGAGUUUCUCGACCUUCUAAAGAACCGUAAUGCCAUUAAUUUGGUGUUACGGGGAAUUAGGACUGUUACCUUGAAAAAAAUUAGAGUGUUUAAAGCAGGCUCACGCUUGAAUACAUUAGCAUGGAAUAAUGAAAAUAGGACAUCCGAUUCUAUUUUGUUGGUUUCUAGGAUCGAUGUAAUGAUUAAUAGGGAUAGUUGGG
rnacentral:rRNA from 1 species